GGUUGUGAGAGCGAUCUGGCUGUGACAUCUGUCACCCCAUUGUUUGCCAGGCUUGAUUAGACUGAUCUGGCUGGCUAGGUGGUUGUCCCCUUCCUCCCUUACCUCUCCAUGUGCGUCCCUCCCAAAGCUGCAUGCUCCCCGAAUAGAGGAGGACUGGUCUUAGUUCUCCCCUGCUAGAACCUCCAAACAAGCGCCCAUCUAGCUAUAUUCGGCUGGGCCAUUGGCCAAAUCAGCUUUAUUUAUCAACCAAUAAAAGCAAUACAUAUUCCCAACAUAUAGAAGGAAAUCCCAUAUCAUAGCUUCAUAUU
ensembl:misc_RNA 7SK 7SK RNA